ACCUGGCUGGCUCGGUAGAGCAUCUGACUCUUGACCUCAGGGUUAUGGGUUCAAGUCCCAUGUUAGGUG
rnacentral:tRNA from 1 species